rnacentral:rRNA from 1 species
GAUGAACGCUGGCGGCGUGCCUAAUACAUGCAAGUCGAGCGAACAGACGAGGAGCUUGCUCCUCUGACGUUAGCGGCGGACGGGUGAGUAACACGUGGAUAACCUACCUAUAAGACUGGGAUAACUUCGGGAAACCGGAGCUAAUACCGGAUAAUAUAUUGAACCGCAUGGUUCAAUAGUGAAAGACGGUUUUGCUGUCACUUAUAGAUGGAUCCGCGCCGCAUUAGCUAGUUGGUAAGGUAACGGCUUACCAAGGCAACGAUGCGUAGCCGACCUGAGAGGGUGAUCGGCCACCCUGGAACUGAGACACGGUCCAGACUCCUACGGGAGGCAGCAGUAGGGAAUCUUCCGCAAUGGGCGAAAGCCUGACGGAGCAACGCCGCGUGAGUGAUGAAGGUCUUCGGAUCGUAAAACUCUGUUGUUAGGGAAGAACAAAUGUGUAAGUAACUAUGCACGUCUUGACGGUACCUAAUCAGAAAGCCACGGCUAACUACGUG